rnacentral:tRNA from 1 species
GGAGGGUUGGCCGAGCGGUUUAAGGCACCGGUCUUGAAAACCGGCAGGGCUGAAAAGCUCUCGUGAGUUCGAAUCUCACACCCUCCGCCA